rnacentral:rRNA from 1 species
GACGAACGCUGGCGGCGUGCUUAACACAUGCAAGUCGAACGAAGUGGCGAACGGGUGAGUAAGACGUGGGUAACCUGCCCUCCUUUUUGGGAUAAGCAUUGGAAACGGGGUCUAAUACCGAAUAAAGGGGGAUGGGCUCGGGGCCUGUCGGGUGGGUGGUGGGGUGAUGGCCUACCAAGGCGGUGCCGGGUAGCCGGGAUGAGCGGGUGAACGGCCACAUUGGGACUGGGCAACGGCCCAGACGACGAAGGGGGGGAGCAGGGGGGGAUAUGGCACAAUGGGCGAAAGCGUGAUGCAGCGAGGACGCGUGGGGGAUGAAGGCUGUAGGGUUGUAACCCUGUGUCGCUAUCGAAUGGGUAGGUGGAGAAGAAGCGCCGGCUAACUACGUGCCAGCAGCCGCGGUAAUAC